GAAAUGCGAUAAGUAAUGUGAAUUGCAGAAUUCAGUGAAUCAUCGAAUCUUUGAACGCACAUUGCGCCCGCCAGCACUCUGGCGGGCAUGCCUGUUCGAGCGUCAUUUCAACCCUCAGAACCCCUUGCGGGAUCUGGCGUUGGGGAUUGGCAUCCAGCCAGCCCCGAAAUCUAGUGGCGGUCCCUCCGCGACCUCCCCUGUGCAGUAGCGAUACCUCGCAGCGGGACAGCGGUCUGACCACGCCGUAAAACCCCCAACUUCACAAGGUUGACCUCGAAUCAGGUAGGAAUACCCGCUGAACAUAAGC
rnacentral:misc_RNA from 1 species